rnacentral:tRNA from 1 species
UCCCUGGAGGACUAGUGGUUAGGCCUCGGCCCUAUCACUGCUGCGGCCCGGGCUCGAUUCCCGGCCGGGGAA